GUGGGGAGCCUGCGUUCUUUGGAAGGAAGACCUUUCAGAUGACCUGACCAGUCCUCCUCUUCAGAACCCGGAUGCUGGCGAAGCAGACUACUCCCAACACAGGCCACCUGUCUUGAAGAUGUGUAUCUAUAGUCAGAGGGAGGAGCCAUGUGCAAGCGUUUGGCUGGAUCACUACAAAUCUAUCAUGACUCUGGGAAAUCAACCGCUGUAUGAGAUCCCGGCGAUUGAUGAAGGAACUCGCCUUCACUUAAAAGGGACAGCAAGCAUAAUUCUCAAUGCACACAUGGUCUCAAUGGAGUGGAUUUUCAUGGACUGACUCAAGGUAUACUGCUCUAAAUCCUACUGUAAGGCUUCCUCAUCAAGUUACCUACCUUCUAAUUGAGUCUCCUCAUCAGCUGAAAUGUUUACUCACAUGGAGUUAAUGACAGUGUCUGCAUUAGAGGAUUUGGUCAAGAUCAAAUUAGAUAUUGCAAUGGAGUGCUGAGGACAACAGCUGGCAUGCUUAAAAUGCUUGCUAAAUGUGUACAAGUGCACAAGUUCUGUUUUAUUAAUAAAAAC
rnacentral:lncRNA from 1 species